UAGCCUCAAGUGAUGAUUAUUGGAGGUAGAGCACUGUUUGGACGAGGGGCCCCUCUCGGGUUACCGAAUUCAGACAAACUCCGAAUGCCAAUUAAUUUAACUUGGGAGUCAGAACAUGGGUGAUAAGGUCCGUGUUCGAAAGGGAAACAGCCCAGACCACCAGCUAAGGUCCCAAAAUAUAUGUUAAGUGGAAAAGGAUGUGGCGUUGCCCAGACAACUAGGAUGUUGGCUUAGAAGCAGCCAUCAUUUAAAGAGUGCGUAAUAGCUCACUAGUCGAGUGACACUGCGCCGAAAAUGUACCGGGGCUAAACAUAUUACCGAAGCUGUGGAUUGUCCUUUGGACAAUGGUAGGAGAGCGUU
rnacentral:rRNA from 1 species